UCAAGCUAUCCACUUGCCUCAGCCUCCCAAAUUGCUGAGAUUAGAAGAAUGAGCCACUGUGCCUGUGACUUACUUCUAACCCACAGAAUAGAGCAACAGUGAGAGGAUGUCAAUUCUGUGAUAGAUUGCAAAAUAUUGUAAGUUCCUAGCAGUCUUUCUCAUUGGUUUCAAUAAAAAAAAGCUGCUGUGCUGGAGGGACCCAUGAGGCAAAGAACUGAGAGCAGCCUUUAGCUAACAGCCGGCAAGGAAUGAGGUGCUUGGUCCAGCAAUCACAGAGAAACUGAAUCCUGCUGAUGAUCAUGAGGGUGAGCUUGGAAGCAGAUUCUGUCCCAGAUGAACUUUGAUUGUGUCUUGUUAGAAACCCUGGACCAACUCCUUGAUUGCACCUGUGAGAGGCCCUGAAGCGGAGGGCCCAGCUAAGGUGUGUCUGGAUUUCUGACCCACAGAAACUGAGAUCAUAAAUGUGUGGUUUUAAGCCCUACUCCAGCACUUUCACAGUCAUUUACGGCAUCUGCAGAGCAGUGAAAAAUUUGAAUUGCCUGAGAUACAUGCUCCCUGCUGAAGUCGCACAAGCUGGCCAAUCCUGCUAAUCCUUUAAAACUCACCUGGAGGGAAGGCCUCCUUCUGCAAAGCCUCUCUUGAUGCAGAUUAUCAGCUUUCACUCUCUACCAGAUGGCAAGGAUAUUGCUGUUGGCUCAUAGGAUGUGAACAGUGGUGUUGAGAUUACCCUCAUUUGGCUGAUGAUGUCAUUGAGGCCCAGAGAAGGUAGGACACCUGGCAGGGCCUGGCUUUGGGGCUAACUUCUGCAGCUCUUUUGAUUGCCCCCACCUUACAGUUUUUGGCACAGAGCACUGUGUAGCUGGCACUUCUCUACUGGCCCGAAUGAGAAAACUUCCUCAGAGCAAAAUGUCAAGCACCAAAUAAGAUUCAUGUUUACUGUGAAGUGAUUGCUGCUUUUUAAAUGCUUAUCAGAAGCCGAAGGACAAACUCAGUAGGUUGAUUCAUGCUGAGCUCGACUACCUCCGUGAGAAAUGACUCUCCUGUAGGGCUCGAUGACCUUCAUGUCAAUGCGCUGCUCUUGUUCUCCA
rnacentral:lncRNA from 1 species